GACGUAGGGCGCGAGCGUUGUCCGGAUUUAUUGGGCGUAAAGAGCUCGUAGGCGGUUUGUCGCGUCGUCCGUGAAAACUCACAGCUUAACUGUGAGCUUGCGGUCGAUACGGGCUGGCUGGAGGCAGGCAGGGGAGAACGGAAUUCCUGGUGUAGCGGUGAAAUGCGCAGAUAUCAGGAGGAACACCGGUGGCGAAGGCGGUUCUCUGGGCCUGUACUGACGCUGAGGAGCGAAAGCGUGGGGAGCGAACAGG
rnacentral:rRNA from 1 species